GUGACGCACCCUUCAGCGGAGAUGAUGCUGAAGAUCAGAAAGUCACAGCAAGCAGCUCAGUACCUGCAGGUAACCUGCUGUAACUUUCCCGGCCACCUCUUGGUCGGAACCCUACCUCAGCACACACAACCUAUGCUCUGGCAGCAGCCAUGAUGCACACCUCAAUCUCCUCUUCUGCUUUCAGCUUCAGCAAACAUCAUUGAAAUCUCUGGGCCGGCUCAUGGCAGUCCUGCUCAAGACAGAGCCCACCCGUGGCUUUUUCCAGAACAUAGUCCAUGUCCUGCAGAGAUCUAUGACAUCAGACAACGUGUGGGAGCGCAAGAGGGCCCUGCAGACCUGCUCCCAGCUGCUGGCUGUUUGUGAAGAGCUUCAAAGAGGAGAUAUCUGUGAGCACUUUGGCUCCUUGGUGGGAUUGUUGGCACCUCUGACAUGUGACCCCAUGCCCACAUCCCGCCAGCUGGCCGUCACCUGUCUGAGCUCCCUUCUCCGAAUCCAAGGUGAGUAGAGCAGGCGUGUGCCAGCCCUGUGCCCUCCUCUGCAGCACUACCAGAGCCCCACUGGCUGGGCCCUGUUUA
rnacentral:lncRNA from 1 species